AGCCCUGUGGUCUAGUGGUCAAUGAUGCGACCCUCUGGAGGUUGCGACCCAGGUUCGAAUCCUGGCAGGGCUA
rnacentral:tRNA from 1 species